GCCGGGUGUGGUGGCGGGCACCUGUAAUCCCAGCUACUCAGGAGGCUGAGGCAGGAGAAUUACUUGAACCCAGGAGACAGAGGUUGCAGUGAGCCGAGAUCGUGCCACUGCACUCCAGCCUGGGCGACAGAGUAAGACUCUGCCUCAA
rnacentral:sRNA from 1 species